rnacentral:lncRNA from 1 species
UCACGAUUGACAAUGACGGUGAAAUCGGAGCAAUAGCCUCGCCGUAUCACUCCUCUUCAAAGAGAAAUUCGAUCAUAUACAAUCUUAAGGGAGUUUGGUUGGUGAGAAAAUUGUGAUUCCAAGAAGAUUCCCAACCAAACUGGGGAUCUAUACAGAGCAUUGAAAUUUUUUUUGGAAAUCUCACGAAGCCUUGUGCGAGGGAUGAUCUUACCAUGUUUGAUAUUACCCGCAGCCCCCCUCGCUCUCUCGCUUCUGGAAUGCUUCUGUCGAUUUCUCUCUCUGCCUUUUUCUUCUCCUCUUCUAUACUCAAAUACUAGGAAGACCACAAAACAACCCAAAAUCAUUACAAAUAUAGAAUGUAAAUUGAGGCCAUUGUUGGAAAAAAAUAGAAAUCUCACGAAGGAUUGUGCUUGGGACGGAUCUUCCGAAGGUUUGGUCUUCUUCUUC